rnacentral:lncRNA from 1 species
AAUGUAACUUUUGCAUUAGAUCAAUCAUUAAUCAAAUUGAUAAUCAAAUUCUAUUACGAUUCAUAAUCAGAGUUCAACUAUCUGAUCAGUUAAAAGCUAUUUUUGUGUAUGACCUUAUAGGUUCUAUUCUGUCUAGUAGUGAGAUAUAUUAUGAUCCCUAUCACAAUAUCAUUGAAACUCUUUUCAAUAAAUUGGAACUGUUCCAACUCUGUCCACCAA